UUGCCAUUGCACAUGACCUUAUGG
rnacentral:siRNA from 1 species